GGCCCGGCAGAAAAUGGGGGACAGACGUAGUUUCUUGAGGCGCCAUCAUCUGCCUGUGCUGAGGCCCUGGGAAGGAAGCUACUGAUCAAGAAUACUGCAUCGGCGGACGUCCCUCACCGGCUCGGAAGUAUUUUGACAGGAGUAGCCGAUCAGUAUCUCCUCCGUCCCCACAGGGAGGAGAGAGUGAGCGGCGGAUCUUUGGCUCGAGUCCAGGGUUGCGGCCGCCAUUUUGUGGCGCUGUCGCCCCGACCGACGCGCGAGCGCAUGCGCCGCCAACGGAACCGAGGGAGAGGUCACGAACUCUGACCCGCGGCGGAGCCGAGAAUCCGGGGGGAGGGGGGAAAAGGUUCGGGGCUUUUCCGCCCCGUUUGAAAAUAACGUCUCAGCAACCUGAAAUGGGAACGAUUAAACCAUAGAGGGAUUUGAACACAAGGAGGUUGUGGACUUCUUUGUUCUUGAUGGUGUUGGGUUCCUCAAGUGUUGUUGAAGCUGGACUCAUCCAGAUUAGUAGGGUGUCAUUCAUCUGAAGUGUUGGGCUGGAGAAGGAAGGAUAUAAAACGGUAAGC